GACGAACGCUGGCGGCGCGCUUAACACAUGCAAGUCGAACGGAAAGGCCUGCUUUCCCUUGUGGAUUGCGGGUACUCGAGUGGCGAACGGGUGAGUAACACGUGAGUGAUCUGCCCCCAACUUGGGUAUAAGCCUGGGAAACUGGGUCUAAUUCCCGAUAGGACUGCAGGGUGGUGCCUGUGGUGGAAAACGAUUUUCUAGUGGUUGGGGAUGAGCUCGCGGCCUAUCAGCUUGUUGGUGGGGUAAUGGCCUACCAAGGCGGCGACGGGUAGCCGGCCAGGGGGGGUGGGCGGGCGCAGUGGGACUGAGAUACGGCCCAGACUCCUACGGGAGGCAGCAGUGGGGAAUAUUGCACAAUGGGCGGAAGCCUGAUGCAGCGACGCCGCGUGGGGGAUGACGGCCUUCGGGUUGUAAACUCCUUUCGACCGCGAGGAAGCCACCUGGUUGGAAGGGUGGUGACGGUAGUGGGAGAAGAAGCACCGGCUAACUACGUG
rnacentral:rRNA from 1 species